GACGAACGCUGGCGGCGUGCUUAACACAUGCAAGUCGAACGGAAAGGCCCUGCUUUUGUGGGGUUCUCGAGUGGCGAACGGGUGAGUAACACGUGAGUAACCUGCCCUUGACUUUGGGAUAACUUCAGGAAACUGGGGCUAAUACCGGAUAGGAGCUCCUGCUGCAUGGUGGGGGUUGGAAAGCUUCGGCGGUUGGGGAUGGACUCGCGGCUUAUCAGCUUGUUGGUGGGGUAGUGGCUUACCAAGGCUUUGACGGGUAGCCGGCCUGGGAGGGUUACCGGCCACAUUGGGACUGAGAUACGGACCAGUCUCCUACGGGAGGCAGCAGUGGGGAAUAUUGCACAAUGGGCGGAAGCCUGAUGCAGCAGCGCCGCGUGCGGGAUGCCGGCCUUCGGGUUGUAAACCGCUUUCGCCUGUGACGAAGCGUGAGUGACGGUAAUGGGUAAAGAAGCACCGGCUAACUACGUG
rnacentral:rRNA from 1 species